rnacentral:rRNA from 1 species
CCUACGGGAGGCAGCAGUGAGGAAUAUUGGUCAAUGGACGCGAGCCUGAACCAGCCAAGUAGCGUGAAGGAUGACUGCCCUAUGGGUUGUAAACUUCUUUUAUCUGGGAAUAAAAGAGGGCACGCAUACCGUUUUGUGUGUACCCUAUGAAUAAGGAUCGGCUAACUCCGUGCCAGCAGCCGCGGUAAUACGGAGGAUCCGAGCGUUAUCCGGAUUUAUUGGGUUUAAAGGGAGCGUAGGUGGGUUGUUAAGUCAGUGGUGAAAGUUGGGGGCUCAACCGUAAAAGAGCAGUUGAAACUGGUAGUCUUGAGUACAUGAGAGGUAUGCGGAAUGCGUGGUGUAGCGGUGAAAUGCAUAGAUAUCACGAAGAACUCCGAUUGCGAAGGCAGCUUACCAG